rfam:Otolemur garnettii contig162070, whole genome shotgun sequence.
GCUCCUGUGGCUCAAAAGGGUAGGGCGCUGGCUCCAUAUGUCAGAGGUGGCGGGUUCAAACCCAGCCCCGCAGCC